CACAGAGAUGGCGGCAGAAGAGGCGAGAGCGUGACGCAGGGAGCGAGAAGGGAAACGACAAGCGAAAAGGUGCAACGCCAGAAGAAAAAGGCCCAAAAGCCCACAUAUAGAAACCCAUCCCAUGAACCAGAUCCCUCCUGCGUAUCAGCCCAUCCAUCUGCUCUAAGUCCCUCUCCCCAGAGCCUGGUGGGAGGUAAUGCCGCUGUGACAGGUGGAGCCGGACCGGAACGUGAUGCGCGGAGAAGUUGUCACACGUUGAUUCUUUGAGCCUCUCCCUCAGAGUCUUUGUGUGCCGCCUAAUGAACGACUCAAGACUUCCUGUCCUCCCCCUAAAUGAAGAUGUAUCAUCACGUACGGAGGCAAAAAAGGUUCAAACCGUUCUCUGGCUGCUUCGUUCCAACACAGCGAUCAGCCGCGCUACGAUGCUGCCCUCCCACAGUCUGGACACUGACCGACCCCAAGCUGCAAUCAGCAAAGUGGCAACACGGGUGGCGACUCGUGUCCGUUCAGCGUGAAUACUCUAACCUGGGCCGGCAGCGUGGUCGUAACCACCCA